GGUGGUUCUCGGGUGAUGCACCCCGGAACCAGAGAGGAGGGAGCCCGAUUCCAGGGUGCGUCACCCGAGAGCCACC
rfam:Myotis lucifugus cont2.22756, whole genome shotgun sequence.